CUUUAAAACGAGGAAGCGAGCGCCAUGGACAAAAUCACUAGUCAAUCCAUCAAUACACAAGCUCAGACCUGCUCUUAUUUGUAUUUUUCAGUGACUGUACUUGAAGACAAGCUUCUUAUUCAGUCUCCCAUCUGCAUCACCUUGAACAAGCGUCAUAAUUUCCUUGACCUCAACUCGAGAUUCAGCAAUCACAUUCAAGCUCAUCAUGGAAUCACAACAUGGUGAACCUGGAAGCGGGUCUGGUGUACCAUGGGUGAUGAACGUGGAGCAAGCCGUGAGGAACCCUGCCACGGUGGUGCAAUCGACAUCUGCCGCCACUGCCACGGCCCAUGAUAGCAACAGCAACAAUAGCACUCCUGUCAUUAUUUUCUGGACCUCCAUGUUAUAAAACUUGAUUUCGACAACCCUCUUCUUGUAUUAGUUCAGCAGUUGAGUUAUUUAAUUCUUAGUGUUGAUUAA